rnacentral:misc_RNA from 1 species
GAUGAAGAACGUAGCGAAAUGCGAUAACUAAUGUGAAUUGCAGAAUUCCGUGAAUCAUCGAGUCUUUGAACGCACAUUGCGCCCACUGGUAUUCCGGUGGGCAUGCCUGUUCGAGCGUCAUUAUCCUCCCUCAAACCCCGGGUUUGGUGUUGGACCUCAAGUUGUGCGAGCAACUGGUCUUAAAGACAAUGACGGCGUCCGGAGGACCCUCGGUGCAACGAGCUUUCAGGAGCACGCGUCGAGUUUCAAGGACCUUCCGGCCCGGUCUCUUUACUCCUUUUACACAAGGUUGACCUCGGAUCAGGUAGGAAUACCCGCUGAACUUAAGCAUAUCAAUAAGCGGAGGA